GUGCAGGGCAGGGGGGCCUCCAGGACAUGUUUGGGAAGCACUGCUGUAGGCAAUCUAUGGACGAGAAUUGACGUUUUAUUUAAAUUACAUUUAGGACUUUUCUGCUUAUUCGGCCAUAAAUGUACUGAUUCUCCCGUUGUCUCCGCUGAGGCGGCAUCUAAUGAGCGUCGACAGGAUUCUGGCGUUUAGCAAAACACUGCGAUCACGUCAUUUCAAGCAUUGCGGAAAUGCAAAUUAACAAAAUUAAUCCCUUUUACAGAAAACUAGUUUUCAUCUCAUGCAGUGCUCUGCCCUGGCAUACAGAGAUAUCAGUGGACAUCUGGCUAAAUGGCUAAAAUGGACAGCAGCACACAGUUAUAAACAUUUAGAUUUUCUCUCCUGGAGUCAAGGCAAAUCAGACCCCUGCAUUUGCAACUGAGUUAUUCCACCGAGGGUAAAAAUGCGAAUCAGAGCUCGGCUCGUCAUAGAUAAUCAAGCCAUCAGCAUGCAGAUGCCAAAGCCAGAGGUACAGUGGGAUCAACCAGCUGUGUGGACCGAAAGGCCAAUGGGUCUGUGUCUAAGGAGGCUAUGCCUAUAAACUCAGCAUCUGUUGCAGGGUGAGGUGGAGAAAUAAGAGCUGGCACACAAGAGAAAGAGGAAACA